AGGGGCGUAGCUCAGCUGGUUUAGAGCGCUUCAGUCACAUUGAAGAGGUCAUCGGUUCGAAUCCGAUCGUCCCUACCA
rnacentral:tRNA from 1 species